AGCAACCUCAACCUAUGAUCAAAUAAAAUCAAGGUAAGCUCUUUCAUUCAUCAUUUUAUGCAUAUAUGAGCCUAUGUGAGUGUCCUCAAUCAUUCAUUCAUCAAGAUUUGAAGUUUGGCUUUGAGAAGUUGAUCAGUCAAUUCAUCUGACUAUUUCGAAAUCCACUGAGACCUAACGUUUGAUGUGUUUGUCAAAUGAAG
rnacentral:lncRNA from 1 species